UACGUAGGUGGCGAGCGUUGUCCGGAAUUACUGGGUGUAAAGCGCGCGUAGGCGGUCGGCCAAGUCUGCUGUGAAAUCGCCCGGCUCAACUGGGCGCGGUCGGUGGAAACUGGUCAACUGGAGGACGGUAGAGGCGAGUGGAAUUCCCGGUGUAGUGGUGAAAUGCGUAGAGAUCGGGAGGAACACCAGUGGCGAAGGCGGCUCGCUGGGCCGGACCUGACGCUGAGGCGCGAAGGCGUGGGGAGCGAACGGG
rnacentral:rRNA from 1 species